rnacentral:rRNA from 1 species
UACAGAGGUCCCCAAGCGUUGUUCGGGAUUCAUUGGGCGUAAAGGGGUGCGUAGGCGGCGCGGUAAGUCGGGUGUGAAAUCUUGGAGCUUAACUCCGAAACUGCAUUCGAUACUGCCGUGCUUGAGGACUGGAGAGGAGACUGGAAUUUACGGUGUAGCGGUGAAAUGCGUAGAUAUCGUAAGGAAGACCAGUGGCGAAGGCAGCUCGCUGGGACGGUACUGACGCUGAGACGCGAAAGCGU